rnacentral:rRNA from 1 species
UACGGGGGGAGCAAGCGUUGUUCGGAUUUACUGGGCGUAAAGGGCGCGUAGGCGGUCAGCACAAGUCAGUUGUGAGAUCUCCGGGCUUAACUCGGAAAGGUCAACUGAUACUGUGCGACUAGAGUGCGGAAGGGGCAACUGGAAUUCUCGGUGUAGCGGUGAAAUGCGUAGAUAUCAUUUGGAACGCCAAUGGUGAAAACAGGUAGCUGGGGCUGUGCUGACGCUGAGACACGAAAGCCAGGGGAGCAAACGGG